AUUGAACGCUGGCGGCAGGCCUAACACAUGCAAGUCGAACGAGUGGCGGACGGGGGAGUAAUGUCUGGGAAACUGCCCGAUGGAGGGGGAUAACUACUGGAAACGGUAGCUAAUACCGCAUACCAUCGGAUGUGCCCAGAUGGGAUUAGCUAGUAGGUGGGGUAACGGCUCACCUAGGCGACGAUCCCUAGCUGGUCUGCGAGGAUGACCAGCCACAGUGGAACUGAGACACGGUCCAGACUCCUAGGGGAGGCAGCAUUGGGGAAUAGUGCACAAUGGGCGCAAGCCUGAUGCAGCCAUGCCGCGGGGAUGAAGAAGGCCUUCGGGUGGUAAAGUACUUUCAGCGAGGAGGCGUUACUCGCAGAAGAAGCACCGGCUAACUCCGUGCCAGCAGCCGCGGUAAUUC
rnacentral:rRNA from 1 species